rnacentral:rRNA from 1 species
GAUGAACGCUGGCGGCGUGCCUCAAACAUGCAAGUCGAGCGAGGCUAUGAAUUACCGCAAGGUAAGGCAUAGCCUAGCGGCGAACGGGUGAGUAACACGUGGGUAACCUACCUGGAAGACAGGGAUAACGAUUCGAAAGGGUCGCUAAUACCUGAUAAUAUCCGUCUGCCGGAUGGCGGAGGGAAGAAAGGGGAAACCCGCUUUCAGAUGGGCCCGCGUCCCAUCAGCUAGUUGGUAAGGUAAAGGCUUACCAAGGCGACGACGGGUAGCCGGUCUGAGAGGAUGUACGGCCACACUGGGACUGAGAUACGGCCCAGACUCCUACGGGAGGCAGCAGUUGGGAAUCUUAGGCAAUGGACGAAAGUCCGACCUAGCGACGCCGCGUGAGGGAAGAAGGCCUUCGGGUUGUAAACCUCUGUCAUGGGGGAAGAAGGAAGUGACGGUACCCCAAGAGGAAGCCCCUGCUAACUACGUG